rnacentral:rRNA from 1 species
GACGAACCAUCCAAACGUUAUUCGGAAUUACUGGGCUUAAAGGGUGCGUAGGCUGCGCAGAAAGUUGGGUGUGAAAUCCCUCGGCUUAACCGAGGAACUGCGCCCAAAACUACUGUGCUUGAGGGAGACAGAGGUGGAGCGGAACUUAGGGUGGAGCGGUGAAAUGCGUUGAUAUCCUAAGGAACACCGGUGGCGAAGGCGGUUCUCUGGGCCUUACCUGACACUGAGGAGCGAAAGCGUGGGGAGCGAACAGG